rnacentral:rRNA from 1 species
GACGAACGCCGGCGGCGUGCCUAAUACAUGCAAGUUGAGCGAUGAAGAUUGGUGCUUGCACCAAUUUGAAGAGCAGCGAACGGGUGAGUAACGCGUGGGGAAUCUGCCUUUGAGCGGGGGACAACAUUUGGAAACGAAUGCUAAUACCGCAUAACAACUUUAAACAUAAGUUUUAAGUUUGAAAGAUGCAAUUGCAUCACUCAAAGAUGAUCCCGCGUUGUAUUAGCUAGUUGGUGAGGUAAAGGCUCACCAAGGCGAUGAUACAUAGCCGACCUGAGAGGGGGAUCGGCCACAUUGGGACUGAGACAAGGCCCAAACUCCUACGGGAGGCAGCAGUAGGGAAUCUUCGGCAAUGGACGAAAGUCUGACCGAGCAACGCCGCGUGAGUGAAGAAGGUUUUCGGAUCGUAAAACUCUGUUGGUAGAGAAGAACGUUGGUGAGAGUGGAAAGCUCAUCAAGUGACGGUAACUACCCAGAAAGGGACGGCUAACUACGUG